rnacentral:rRNA from 1 species
GACGAACGCUGGCGGCGUGCUUAACACAUGCAAGUCGAACGGAAAGGCCCUGCUUGCAGGGUACUCGAGUGGCGAACGGGUGAGUAACACGUGGGUGAUCUGCCCUGCACUUCGGGAUAAGCCUGGGAAACUGGGUCUAAUACCGGAUAGGAGCCAUUUUUAGUGUGAUGGUUGGAAAGUUUUUUCGGUGUAGGAUGAGCUCGCGGCCUAUCAGCUUGUUGGUGGGGUAAUGGCCUACCAAGGCGGCGACGGGUAGCCGGCCUGAGAGGGUGGACGGCCACAUUGGGACUGAGAGACGGCCCAGACACCUACGGGAGGCAGCAGUGGGGAAUAUUGCACAAUGGGCGCAAGCCUGAUGCAGCGACGCCGCGUGGGGGAUGACGGCCUUCGGGUUGUAAACUCCUUUCGCUAGGGACGAAGCUUUUUGUGACGGUACCUAGAUAAGAAGCACCGGCUAACUACGUG